rnacentral:lncRNA from 1 species
UCCUUCGAAGGGGUGCAGCUGUUCCUCGGCGGGGUCUUCUUCUGGUGCUGGAUGAAGCUCGUACGUUCCAUCGGCGAGAUUCAACUCUACACGGAAAUGCAAUGCAGGGGUUAAACAUUUUAGAAGGUUAUUUCAACACACUCAUGUUUUAACACGGACACUGGUAGCAAAGCUACAGAAAAAAGGUGGGGGAGUUCAACUUCUGUUGGUGGAGAGCAGGAUGAGAGGGUCGGAUUGGGGAAAACUUAGGGUCUGACCCUCAGGUUUAGGGAAAACCGUACCGAGGUCCUCAGGCUCAACAUAGAGGAAUCCCCGAAAAUAUUUCACCGAUACCCUCGGGUCAAAGAAAAAGAAUUACAACCGAGCCCUCGGGCGUGGCGGAGAAAGGGUCGGCGAAACAUGGCGGGGUCGGGCGAGACGGAAAGGACAGGGGUCGGGCGAGACGGAAAGGACAGGGGUUGGGCGAGACGGAAAGAUAGGGGUCGGGCUGUGGCGGAACCGCCCAACUUAAGCUGGUUUAAGUGCGCCUAAUCGCUGUCGAAACAGCAAUUAUCUGAAACGCACCUAAAACAGCAUAAGUCCGGUAGUCCGUCGAGUGUCCCUCGGACUCCUCGAAGGAUCCACGGCGUGUCUCAUAACCAUACAUCAGGAUAGUAUCCGCGAUGGGAUAACAUCAACAAACAUUACAUUUUUACAUACAUAAAUAAGAGGUACGAGUUGUUACAAGACUUCAAGUUGAAACAAACUUAGUGAUGCAUAGUUAAACAAGCUCUAAGAUUAAACAUAAGUAGUUUAGGAGAAGAUGCGUCGAUAACGGUUUUCUAGAGUAUUGAGAGACUCAGGUCAAUACUCUAGGUCUUCGGGGUCUCCUCCUCGACAGCUUCUUGGGUAGCUUCUGAAAGAUAACCACAAGGGGAAAACCCUGAGUACGGGGUACUCAGCAAGUCUUACCCGACUAACCAAUAUAAUAGUUUUUCUUUGGAAUGCAUGUUAGCCUUUGGGUGUGCUUGGUUGACUCGAUUUUCGCCGAAAAGGCUUACUACGAGUGAGGCCUUAGUUUUGUCUUUUAGUUUAGUUAAGUUGUUACCUAACCAUUCUAGAUGAUAACGGAAAUAAAAUAAUCAUAACUGUUAAUUCAUACAAUACUUGGCAACAGGAGAUUUAUAUCACAUGAGUUAUACUACGAUGCUCAACAGUGAUCAAGUGCAUUCAUAACCGAGAAUUGCGGCGAUCCGGAUCAAUUUACAUCCUGCAGGAGAGUACCCCGAUCACCAGCAUUAUACGACUGUCCAGGUCGUACUAGCAACCUCUCAAUUAGUAAAGUCAAUGAUUAGGAACACAACUACCCGGACCCAGGGAUGCACCCCCACAUGGGACCCCACGUCUGGCCUGAUCCCCAUGUGAGUUUCAGGCUACACCCCUGCCAAUCUCCAGCACGUCAAAUGCGGGUACGAAGCAUUCCUGAUCAUAGAAUUUACUAACCUACUGGGCUUUACUGGUCCCAUACCCAGUAAGUGAUCAGAUGUUAUCACUUGAUCAGCAGUUAAGACACGGCCCGGUCCUCAAGCAGAUUAAUAAGCAGACAGAACUACAUCUCUAGCUUCUGUCUGGUUCUAUACUUCAAACUAUCUUUCCUAAACAGCAUGUAUGAUCAAGAGUUUUCCCUAAGGUUGGUAAACCAAGCAUGUAAGCGAGUAAGCAAUUCUAGACUUGGGUAGUUUCUAGGAUUUGAACAAGUGGCAAAGAUGUCCUUAAUUCAAGGCAUGAUCAUACACAAGAAUAGGUUUCAUCCAACUCCUAGACCUAGUGCAUACAAUAACCAAUUAACCUAUAACUAGUCACAUGAAAUAACGACUCCAAAAUAGAUAGGUAUAAAUGCACCGGGGCUUGCCUUGAUCGUUAAAAAGAUUAGCAGACGCCGACGGAUUCGCUUCACAGGGGACAAAUUCAAACACCUCCUCGGACUCCAAAGGUCCUUCUGAAAAUUCCCAGUAAUCCUCUUCUGGCGCUUCUGGAUCUACG